GUCAUCAAAUGAUGAGUAAAUUCAUCAAUCUUAGGACACCUUUGGACACAGCCUUCGCGGUUGUGAAUGAAAACAACCUUUAUUCUGAUGAUGAU